UUGCGCACGCAACGAACCUCCUACAUUAAAAAUACCUAUCUUCAUUUAUGUUCACCCAGACUGAAGAGGUUUCAUAUAUACACUAGCAUAGGUACACUUCUGAUCGCAAACCUUUUUGACAACGUCAUGCAGAAUGUUUGUCAAAAGCCAUAGUGAAAUAGCAAGACGCACAUGCUAGCUUAAAAAUAGUUUAGCGUUGAUCCUAAAUUGAAUUCGACCGGAGUUAGACAAAUUAAUAUACUACGACAGUCAAUAGCACGACAUCCCACGUUGUGGACAUACAUCUAUUCUAAUUACGUUAAUACACGGAAAUACUAAACGUAAGUACGAGAUAUAAGACAAUUAUAUUAAAAAUAUCGCUAAAGAUGUAUUCCAAGCUAAUAUUAAUGCAAUUUAUGCAGG